AAUGGGAAUGUUCUGUUACCACCCAUUUAUAAGCUUUCUUUUCUGUUUGUUUCCUUAAAAUCAAGCUCUUGGCCAACCUGUUCGCCAUUAUUCCACUGUUGGUGGUUCUGCAGUUCUGCAGUGUUCAAAAGUUGGUGGUUCCACCAGUUUGACAAUAUUCAACCAGUUAUAUGUUCCAGUUUUCAAUUUUCUUGAAUGUCCUUGUCUAAACAGCUGUGUGUUAUCCCCCAUUAGACAAGUUGCUCUGCUUGUGUCACCUGGACCCUGGAGAGAAUUCUGUGCAAACGACAUUCAAGGCAUACCAAGACAACGGGCCUCCAACAACUGUGGGGUGUUUGUGCUCAUGUAUGCCCUCUACUUUGUGAUGGAGUCAGCUUUUGAUUUCAGUGAGGUAGGCCACAGAGAUACACUUUU